GGUUGGAGAAGGGGAGGAAGCCACAACUUCCGGUGGGUGGGUGAAGAUCUGCUGUGUCCAGGAGGAUCAAGGAGCAGGAAGCUCGAGAAGCAGGAGGCAGCAAACUUUAAGAAGGAUGUCAAGAACUUGGAGCGGGUGCAGCAGAGAUUCACUAGGAGUUGAUGAUGUGGAUGCCCCUCUGCCAAUGCUGGAAGAGGAGUCCAGCCUUCCUGAUGAUGCAGCAACACUGAUCUCACCCUCGCAAGUAGCAGCUGAUGGUGACUGACCUGGAGUUGCAAUGUUUUCUGUUUGUAUUUGAGGAAAUGGAAAUACAGAGCUUGUAGAUUAGGUUUUUGUUCUGUAGAAGGAGACUAAGAAAAUAUGCCAAUAAAGUGAUACAGUUACAAGUU